GUAGCUCCCCUACGCUACACUGACAGACAUACGUACAUGCAUACAUAAAACCCACAAGUACAUACAUACGUACAUACAUAUCCACAUCCAGCCAUACAUACGCUACAUAUUUAUAUACAUACAUACAGAUCUACAUACAUACAUACACCCAUAUGUAUGAACAACCAAAGGGAAGCACGCAAAAGUGCAAAGCAUUCAUACACACCAAUACUCAGCGUGAAUUCGUUGCUCAAACAUGCCAAAAAUCACGAUCUUCAUUCACUUCUCAACCUGCUUAUCCAACAACCGACUUAAGUUGAUUAACGCCAACUCAGCCAGCACCAGCUUCCGUAGCUUCCGUAGGUGACUUCCGUGACCGUUUCGGACCGCCAAUAUUAAGUGCCGCCCUGGGCCAAGACUACAACA